rnacentral:tRNA from 1 species
GGGGAUAUAGUUCAGUGGUAGAGUGCUUGCUUGGCAUGCACAAGGCCCUGGGUUUGAUUGCUAGUACCACCA